rnacentral:rRNA from 1 species
UACGAAGGGGGCUAGCGUUGCUCGGAAUCACUGGGCGUAAAGCGCACGUAGGCGGAUCUUUAAGUCAGGGGUGAAAUCCUGGAGCUCAACUCCGGAACUGCCUUUGAUACUGGGGAUCUCGAGUCCGGAAGAGGUGAGUGGAACUCCGAGUGUAGAGGUGAAAUUCGUAGAUAUUCGGAAGAACACCAGUGGCGAAGGCGGCUCACUGGUCCGGUACUGACGCUGAGGUGCGAAAGCGUGGGGAGCAAACAGG